rnacentral:piRNA from 1 species
UGGUAAAUGCCAACAAGGUGCUUGAAUGG